rnacentral:rRNA from 1 species
GGUCAAGCUACAAAGGGCGCAUGGUGAAUGCCUUGGCACUAGGAGCCGAAGAAGGACGCGAUAAGCUGCGAUAAGCCUUGGGUAGCCGCAAAUAGGCUGAGAUCCAGGGAUUUCCGAAUGAGGAAACUCACAUGGGUAACCCCAUGUAUCAUGCACUGAAUACAUAGGUGUAUGAGGGUAAACCCGGGGAACUGAAACAUCUAAGUACCCGGAGGAAGAGAAAGAAAAAUCGAUUUCCUAAGUAGCGGCGAGCGAACGGGAAAGAGCCCAAACCAGAAACUUGUUUCUGGGGUUGUGGAUAGAUCAUAAAAGAAGA